CGAACUCAUGCAGCCUCUUUAGCUCCUCGUCGCUAAGGAAGAGCUCUGUGUGAAGGGAGAAGUGUCGGCCACGUGAAAAACAAGAAGAAUCAGAUUCGUGGCAUCACGGCCGCUGAGACGCAUAAUGAUGAUGUAGAUGUGGCUUAAAAUGAUCAUCGGUGGGGGCAGGACUGGCCUGUCAUGAAAUGUCAUAAUCAGCUGAUAUCGCUGGAACUUCCACACCUGGUUGGAUAUUGAUUUUACUUCAAAGAAGGCUCACGAUGUAGGAGAUGACGAUCCACUCCUGGAGGGACGGCCAUCCAUCCAUCCGCACCAGGAUGACGUAGUUAAACAGCAGCAGGUAGCCCAAGUUGACACAUCUAAAAGAAUCUUUGUUUCCAACUGGACUAACUCAUUGAGAGGGAACCUUCACUGCACCUCACCAGUGCAGACAGAAGACCUGGAGGCAGGACGGGAGGCAUUUUAUACUUCAGCACGAUAUGGGCCCUGACUUUUCAUUUUCUACAUAGAGACAUAUUUGUUGGUGCUGUCAUCCUCAUGGGGAAACUAUGAAGUUGCAAACAUUAUGAUAAUGGCAAACUUUUAAUAGUUUGCUGGAGUGUCUUCUACAUUCCUGGAAACUGGAAAAUGUUACUUACUCCUCCCUGCCUCACAAAUUUCCUUCCUGAUUCUUUCCACAACUGGGAAGUUAGACGAGAGGACAUGUGGAUGAGUUGCCCAC